CUUGUCCAUCUCAGUGAAAAGGUCGGGCGAGACAUCGUUGUUCCACACAAACAUGUAGCCAUCAGGAAGACCUUCCUCCAGGUCAAUCAACUCAACAUCAAACACCAGCACAGCACUGCCAGGGACCUCCCCAUCUGAGGUUAACAGGGAUCUCCUCUCAAUUGAUAAUGCUGUGUACUACAUUGCUUAGGCAUUUAAACAGGCAAGGUGAGGAGGAAUGACUAGCCUGCGUUUCUCUCCAACACACAUUCCUAUAAGCCCUUGGUCCAUGCCUAUGACCACCUGUCCGGCCCCCAGAACCACAUCGUAUGUCUUGCCAUAGGUG